rnacentral:lncRNA from 1 species
AACCAAUUCAAUCUGGCAAAGGUAGCAUUUCUGCUAUGUGGUAGCUGCGGACUAGCAUAAAAGUAACAUAAACCUUGUUUCGAGAAGGACCUGGCGCGAGAUUGAACUUGCAAGACUGAGACAUUGCGUUCACGUCUGCUUUUCCUUGAGACAAUUUCUGAUGUUUUCAGGAACCAUAUUAUGAUUUGAUCAGAUGUGUGGGAUCGCAUAGUGUGAAGGACCCUGGAAUGAGGCAUGCCAACCAGAUUGCUUCUUUUUGCAGUACUGCACGUGCUGAUUGUUGGGUUGAGUGGAGACCCAACAGCAGAGGUCAAAUGGAAGAGCAAACGAUCUCAAAUCGUGCAUCACAGUCUGGACAAGUCCCAUAAGCAUUCCCAGCGGGAGGCUGGAUGGCUACCUGCGCAGGACUCCUGCGC